AACGCUAGCUACAGGCUUAACACACGCAAGUCGAGGGGAACCGCCAUCGAAAGCUUGCUUUUGAUGGGCGUCGACCGGCGCACGGGUGAGUAACGCGUAUCCAACCUGCCCACCACUUGGGGAUAACCUUGCGAAAGUAAGACUAAUACCCGAUGAUAUCCCUAGAAGACAUCUGAAAGGGAUUAAAGAUUUAUCGGUGAUGGAUGGGGAUGCGUCUGAUUAGCUUGUUGGCGGGGUAACGGCCCACCAAGGCAACGAUCAGUAGGGGUUCUGAGAGGAAGGUCCCCCACAUUGGAACUGAGACACGGUCCAAACUCCUACGGGAGGCAGCAGUGAGGAAUAUUGGUCAAUGGGCGAGAGCCUGAACCAGCCAAGUAGCGUGCAGGAUGACGGCCCUAUGGGUUGUAAACUGCUUUUAUAAGGGAAUAAAGUGAGUCUCGUGAGACUUUUUGCAUGUACCUUAUGAAUAAGGACCGGCUAAUUCCGUGCCAGCAGCCGCGGUAAUACGGAAGGUCUGGGCGUUAUCCGGAUUUAUUGGGUUUAAAGGGAGCGUAGGCCGGAGAUUAAGCGUGUUGUGAAAUGUAGACGCUCAACGUCUGCACUGCAGCGCGAACUGGUUUCCUUGAGUACGCACAAAGUGGGCGGAAUUCGUGGUGUAGCGGUGAAAUGCUUAGAUAUCACGAAGAACUCCGAUUG
rnacentral:rRNA from 1 species